rnacentral:lncRNA from 1 species
UUCCGGAAUCUGGCGCGGCCUUUGUCUCACUUCAGCCAGAGCGCGGGGUUAGGGCUUCAUUGCCUUGUGUCCUCUGCUCCGGGAGACUUCGGUGAUUCUGCCACUCACUCCGUCGCUCUGUGACCUGCUGGCAUUGAAUGAUUUAUAGCUAAGACUCCAGGACACCCCUGAAGCCGAGAAAUGCUGUGUAUUCUUAUUACAACCAAGGCAUUUUACCAGAGCAAGGCAUACAAGAUUCAUUCAAAAAAGCAACACUGGGAAGAUAUGGGAGCUGUGGCCUUGAAAAUAUAUGCUUAUGGAAAAACUGGGAAAGUAUAGGUGAAGGUGAAGGACAAAAGGAAUGUUAUAAUCUAUGUAGCCAAUAUUUGACAACUAGUCAUAACAAACAUUUAACUGUGAAAGGAGACAAAGAAUAUAGAAUAUUUCAGAAGAAGCCUCAGUUUCUGUCAGCUGCUCCUACAGAACCAUGUAUUCCUAUGAAUAAAUAUCAACAUAAAUUUUUGAAAUCUGUCUUUUGUAAUAAAAAUCAGAUAAAUUUUAACCAUGACUCAAAUAUUAGUAAACAUCAUAGUACUCAUUUUCUAGAAAACUAUUACAAU